rnacentral:misc_RNA from 1 species
AACGCACAUUGCGCCCCCUGGUAUUCCGGGGGGCAUGCCUGUUCGAGCGUCAUUUCACCACUCAAGCCUCGCUUGGUAUUGGGCAACGCGGUCCGCCGCGUGCCUCAAAUCGACCGGCUGGGUCUUCUGUCCCCUAAGCGUUGUGGAAACUAUUCGCUAAAGGGUGCUCGGGAGGCUACGCCGUAAAACAACCCCAUUUCUAAGGUUGACCUCGGAUCAGGUAGGGAUACCCGCUGAACUUAA